ACCUGCAGUCGAACGGCAGCGCGGGGCAACCUGUGCGGCGAGUGGCGAACGGGUGAGUAAUAUAUCGGAACGUACCCAGAAGUGGGGGAUAACGUAGCGAAAGUUACGCUAAUACCGCAUACGAUCUACGGAUGAAAGUGGGGGACCUUCGGGCCUCAUGCUUUUGGAGCGGCCGAUAUCUGAUUAGCUAGUUGGUGAGGUAAAGGCCCACCAAGGCGACGAUCAGUAGCUGGUCUGAGAGGACGACCAGCCACACUGGAACUGAGACACGGUCCAGACUCCUACGGGAGGCAGCAGUGGGGAAUUUUGGACAAUGGGCGCAAGCCUGAUCCAGCAAUGCCGCGUGAGUGAAGAAGGCCUUCGGGUUGUAAAGCUCUUUUGUCAGGGAAGAAACGGUUGCGGCUAAUAUCCGCGGCUAAUGACGGUACCUGAAGAAUAAGCACCGGCUAACUACGUGCCAGCAGCCGCGGUAAUACGUAGGGUGCAAGCGUUAAUCGGAAUUACUGGGCGUAAAGCGUGCGCAGGCGGUUUUGUAAGUCUGACGUGAAAGCCCCGGGCUCAACCUGGGAAUUGCGUUGGAGACUGCAAGGCUUGAAUCUGGCAGAGGGGGGUAGAAUUCCACGUGUAGCAGUGAAAUGCGUAGAGAUGUGGAGGAACACCGAUGGCGAAGGCAGCCCCCUGGGUCAAGAUUGACGCUCAUGCACGAAAGCGUGGGGAGCAAACAGGAUUAGAUACCCUGGUAGUCCACGCCCUAAACGAUGUCUACUAGUUGUCGGGUUUUAAUUAACUUGGUAACGCAGCUACGCGUGAAGUAGACCGCCUGGGGAGUACGGUCGCAAGAUUAAAACUCAAAGGAAUUGACGGGGACCCGCACAAGCGGUGGAUGAUGUGGAUUAAUUCGAUGCAACGCGAAAAACCUUACCUACCCUUGACAUGAAGGAA
rnacentral:rRNA from 1 species